GUACACGUUUUAUAUUCGCUUUAUCUUAUCCCUAUAAGAUCUCACUAGAUAGCAUUAUUAAAUAAGUAUAUAAACAUGACGGUUCAUAUCUGUCGACCAAAUAUACUACCGGUACGUGGGUGAUGACUCAUAAAAAUGCUUAUUGAGGAAAUAAAGAACCAUAGGCACGGAACCCUAAAAAUAAGUCAUAAAAAUUACGGUUACACACUACGGGAUACCUUUUAUACAAAAUUCUUUGCAAUCGCUGUCACAAAGAACCCAGUGGACUAAAAUAAACCGAGGUUGUCUGUAGAUUGUUUAUAUCUGCAUGGAAAAGCCGAUUACGGUAUUUGAGAAGAUUGCUUAUCAGGUACAUUAACAUUUUGUAUCAUUCUACCACAUUAUUGGUUGCAAUUCAUUUAAGUACGACACGUAAACCAAUCAAUCUAUGUCUGCACCGUAUUUUCAGUCGGAUACAAUUGGAAAUGGAGCUCAAUUUCAUUUGUCAAUAUGCAAUACGCGUGGACAUGAGCAUCGCUCCGCCGGGAGUUGCGGCCCGUUCGCGCCCCGCAUUGUUUGUUCAGUUUGCCGUGUCUUUAUCUUUAUUGCUUCGAGGGUUCCGUCCUGUACUGUUCAUGAUAAGUUUACUUUAAGAAUAUUCAACUUUAAUAAAUUGAAAUUGCAAUUUUUGUAGUCUUGGUUAUAGAAUCUUUUGAAUCGCAUACGAGUGUGUACAGUCUUAUUUGAUAUUACGAUAUAUAUACAUUAUAUGUAUUUUUUCUUUUAUCGUAUCUAUAUCUGUUGUUAUUUGCGCAUGCAAAUAAAUUAUAUAUCUAUGUAUUUAUUUAUCUAUCUACCAGUUCAAUUUAAUGUCGAAUAUCUGCUCAACCGUUAGAAUGUUAUGCAAAAAACAUUUAAGUUCCAUUCGAAAUAAUAUAGCAAAAUAGUGACGUCAAUCGUAACGAAAUGCAACACUGGAGUAUACCCUAUCGAAUGCAGAAAGCGUAUUCGCCAAUGCCCAUGGUGUAAUUCAUGUCUAAAGGCGACGGUUAUCAUUUUUCAUCAGAAGGGUAUCAGCUUAUUUGCCAUUCUGUCAUAAAAAAAAAUAAAAAAGAAAUACCCGGAUUAGUUUAUAUUUAGCCAAGAUAUCGCGUAACAUACACAAAAAUAAUAAUACCAGUGAAUUGAGAAGUCCUUUUUCAAAUCCUUAAAAAUUAACACCCUAGUACUACUUUUAAUAUUUUAUUUGUUUCUAAAAGUAUCUUAUCUAUUUAUUUUUUACUUCAAUGCACAAUUAUAUAAGUAAGUGUACAUAUAGCAGACUUAAUACCUAAUGGCGUUCUCUACCAGUCAACCAUGAGGCAAGCAGAAAAUUAAGUUAGCGGUGCGUUUACUACUAAAAUGUUGUUACUAAUACAUUUUGCAGGUAUAUAUAAAUAUAUACCUACACAAAUACAUACAUACAAUAUACAACUAUAAUUCUAAUGAUAAUAAAUUAGAACAGCAGAUAAAAAAAUUAGGCAGAUAAGUAAUUACGAUUGAAGCAAAAAGUACAAAUAAAAAGUAAAAGAAAAGAAGAGAGAGAAAAAAGGGAUGAAAACUGUGUUACAAGUUUUUUUUUAUUAUAUUUUUAUUCUGUGUAAAUAUUAAAAUCUAUAAAUCACAAUUAAGGUGUGUUCACACUUGUGAACAAGCAGCGCGAAUUCCCGUCUAGAAUACGAUUCGAACAAAGUACACGUGCUUUGUUCGUGAGCGUAAUGCAUUUUUCAGCGUACAAAACGCUUUACAGCUGAAAUCUCGAUUUAGUAGCCAAUACUGCGGGUUUAGUGCAACUUGUCAAUUGUAGAUUACUCCCGAUUUAGUAGCGCUUCAGGUUUCAGCGAGCGCGCAUAAACGAUCGGCUAACUGUCGAAGUGACUCAAUCGAUUGUUCUUUUUAACAUCGUAAUUUUUAAACCAAGGAAAUUAUGACUCUGAUGGAUAAAAGUGUUAUAUGUUUUAUAGAAGAAUAAUUAGUAAUAAUAAUAAGAAUCGAUUGCUUGGGUAUCUCUGUCCCAUUCGUGUUUUAACCGUGAAGUAGUUGUGUUUGCAUGGCUGUGUUUCGGUUUGAAGGGUGGGAUAAGGCGUGAAUUUAGUGGGUACAGAGGAAUAACAUCUGAGUCCUCAAGAAUGGCAACGCAUGGGGGUAUUAUGGGCGAAACAGUAUACUCUGUUAUGUCCAUGGUACUGCUCAUGUCUAUAGGCGACGGUUACCACUUUCCAUCAGGUGGGCCGUCAGCUUGUUUGCUAUUCUAAGUUGUAUAAAAAAAAGUGAAUACAGAAAUAAAAAUAUGAUAUAUGAAAUAAUCGCAAAUAAUUUUUUUGUUAAUUCUCGUAUUAUCAGAUGUACAAAAACCAGUGAAGUAUAUCACUUCUAGAUAACGUAUCAAGAUAUACAUCAGUUUUUAAGUUUGACCUUCAAAAAUACAACUGUAAAAACCUCAUCCAAUAUGGUGCAAUAGUUUUUUCUUUUUUUUUAUACGUGACAAACGAGCAUGCGGCUCACCUGAUGGUAAGUGACUACCGCUGCUCAUAAUCAUUCGCAAUACCAGAGGCAUUGCAGGUGUGCUGCUGGCCUUUUAAAAAAAGGAAUAUCACCUUGAAGGUUAUGAUAUUGUAUCGUAUCGGAAUUACUGCUGCUGGAAGUUGAUUCUAAAUAGUGGUUGUGCGUGGAAGAAAGCGCAUUGAAAAGCGCACAGUGGAGGACCGCCACUCAUACAGAUGGUUGGGAUGGAACUUCAGUUUGUUGCGGGUUGUACGGUGGUGAAAAUAAGCAGCAGGUAUCAGUCCGAACAGUUUUUGUAAUAAUGACGUGAUGUUGACAAACAUACAUACGAACAGAUAAAAAUUCUAAAAAAAAUUUUUGUACUCUAUUGGUCUUACCACUGGUAUUAAUUUUCCUUAAAUAUCCCCGAUGACAACGGACAUCGUCUAUUUACAGUUUUAUUAUAUAAGUAACAAGUAAAAUGAGAUAUUUAGACAAUACCAUAAUUAAGUCAACAUUUAGUUCGUGUAGCUUUUCUACUUCGUAUUAUUUAAUUGAAUUACUAAAUAAAAAAGUAUUAAGUUUAAUAAAAUUAUCAUUUUAGCUAUGCACAGAGUCAUUGAUAAUGUAUUGCAUGUUGACAAAAGUACCAAAAUUCGUCACGUAUAAAUCAGUGUCUUACUAAAUAAUCUAUCAAAUAAUUUAAAUUUUUUAAUGUUAUAUUGGAUUAAGUAAUAUUUUGUUAUUAAAUAAUUAAAUAUAGAAAAAAAAAUAUAUAAAAUGCAUAAUCCAUAUCUAUCCAUCUACAAUGUAAUAGUGUUUAAAUUUAAACAGAAAGUGGCACGAAAACAUGUGCUUAAGCUAAAUUUUAAAAUCGCGAUAUAUUCUUAUCUAUCUUACUUCCAUUUUAUAGUUCAACACUGUGAUUAAAAUCUUUUUCUGCAUAUCAGCGCAGUGCAAUAACGAUAAAAUAGAAGUGAAAUUUAUCGUCUCGCUAGCCAGCGCAAGUUACGAUGUUAUAUGCAAGCAGAUUUUUUAGUGGAACAAUUCCUCUGCAAGAUGAGACGAAGAUAUCUCACGUGAUUUAUUAUAUUCGUGCAGCAAUAAGAUCGCGUUAGACCGGCUGCCCCGCGACUACGCUAGUAUGUACUUGCCUUUAUACUAACUUUUAAACAAGACUAUAGAUAGCCACGUGAGUUUAAGAAAUUUUUAGGGUAGUAUUAUACAUGGUAUUUAUAUAUUCGGUUCCAAAUAUGUAAUUUUUCUGUGAUUAAAAAGUUUCGCUCGCUUU